ACACUAGUGAUUUUCCGUAGGUGAACCUGCGGAAGGAUCAUUACCGAGUGAGGG
rnacentral:rRNA from 1 species